rnacentral:rRNA from 1 species
AUUGAACGCUGGCGGAAUGCUUUACACAUGCAAGUCGAGCGGCAGCGCGGGGCAACCUGGCGGCGAGCGGCGAACGGGUGAGUAACACAUCGGAACGUACCCAGUUGUGGGGGAUAGCCCGGCGAAAGCCGGAUUAAUACCGCAUACGACCUGAGGGUGAAAGCGGGGGACCGAAAGGCCUCGCGCAAUUGGAGCGGCCGGUGGCGGAUUAGCUAGUUGGCGGGGUAAAGGCCCACCAAGGCGACGAUCCGUAGCUGGUCUGAGAGGACGACCAGCCACACUGGAACUGAGACACGGUCCAGACUCCUACGGGAGGCAGCAGUGGGGAAUUUUGGACAAUGGGCGCAAGCCUGAUCCAGCCAUUCCGCGUGAGUGAAGAAGGCCUUCGGGUUGUAAAGCUCUUUCGGCAGGAACGAAACGGUCAUCUCUAACAUAGAUGGCUAAUGACGGUACCUGAAGAAGAAGCACCGGCUAACUACGUGCCAGCCGCCGCGGUAACAC